GAGGAGGAGGAGGAGAGGUCGGAGCCGUCUCCAGGAGCCCUUAGAGACCGAGUCCCGGCGGCGACGGCGGGGCAGCGCACCGGCAGGCGGAUUCAUUCCACUUAAAACCUGAAAACAUUGGACCACACAAAGUCUUACUGGUAAGUUCUUCAUUUCUUAAACAAAGUGACUGUUUGACUUUAUUUUUGAGAUGAUAUUCACACUUCUAAGUUAGAUGCUUCCCUACCAGUGCUAUGAUGAGAUGUCUAUUUAUUUGUACUUUUCUUUAAUCUCUAUAAUUUAUGAUGUUUCCAUGCCUUAAAAAAACAGAGCAACCCAUGUUCCUUUGUAAGACCAUGGGCAGGAUAAAGAUCCAUGAUUACAUGCCAAAUACUAUUAAAAUAAAAACUUUUUUGGGUAAUGAAACUAUUUCCAGGCCCCUGUUGAUGGGAGUAUCCAAAACAACAGAGUGUUAUUUCAG
rnacentral:sRNA from 1 species